UACGAGGGGGGCUAGCGUUGCUCGGAAUUACUGGGCGUAAAGGGCGCGUAGGCGGACAGUUUAGUCAGGGGUGAAAGCCCAGGGCUCAACCUUGGAAUUGCCUUUGAUACUGGCUGUCUUGAGUUCGGGAGAGGUGAGUGGAAUGCCGAGUGUAGAGGUGAAAUUCGUAGAUAUUCGGCGGAACACCAGUGGCGAAGGCGACUCACUGGCCCGAUACUGACGCUGAGGCGCGAAAGCGUGGGGAGCAAACAGG
rnacentral:rRNA from 1 species